UACGUAGGGUGCAGGCGUUAAUCGGAAUUACUGGGCGUAAAGGGCUCGUAGGCGGCCAACUAAGUCAGACGUGAAAUCCCUCGGCUCAACCGGGGAACUGCAUCUGAUACUGGAUGGCUUGAGAUUGGGAGAGGGAUGCGGAAUUCCAGGUGUAGCGGUGAAAUGCGUAGAUAUCUGGAGGAACACCGGUGGCGAAGGCGGCAUCCUGGACCAACACUGACGCUGAGGAGCGAAAGCCAGGGGAGCAAACGGG
rnacentral:rRNA from 1 species